UAAGGUGGCAUAGGAUGUCCUGGAGGAGGAGGAGGAGGGUACAUGGUUGAUCCAGGAGGAGGCGGCGGAUAAGUAGCAUAUGAAGGGGGAACAGGAGGUCCCCACGGAACAGGAGCCCCAUAGUUUGGAGGAGGUGGAGCAUAGUUUCCAGGAGGGCCACUUGGAAGAGGACCACCCGGGAUGAAUUGCUGACAUGGAUAGGCACCAGGAGGUUGACUUGAUACAGGGUAUGUGGGCAUGUUUGAUGCAGGCGGGCCAGGAGGAACAGGAGGUUGAGGAGGCUUACCAGCAACCCUCACAGCAAUCGAACGACCUUCAACCCGAGCUCCAUUCAUGCCAGUAAUUGCUGAAUUAGCCAUUUGAACAUCACGAUACUUGACAAAGCCAUACCC
rnacentral:lncRNA from 1 species